CUAAUUCUGGGUAAAAUCUCACCACAGAUAGGCCCUGUCUAUAUCUAUACCCAUUUAAUCUUCCCCACAAACCUAAAUGGUAAGCACUAUUAUCAUCUGGUUGGUAGUUGAAGGAAAUGAACCACAGACACCUCAAAUAACUUCCCCAAGAUAUCAGUGGAUGUCUGGCUGAAGUUCUUAACCUUUACUUUAUACUCACUAACAGCAAAAAUGAGAAGAACCACUUUUCAAGAAUGCAAAUUUUGUUCCAGGAACAUUCAUUAUCUCACUUCACCUUUGUGCUCCUGUGAGUAAAUAAUGUCUCUGUUCUACAGAUGAGGAAACCAAGGCUUCGAGGUACCCAAUAACUGGCUUAAAGUUACUGUCAAAACACAGGGCCCUCAUACAUGCUUCUACGGCAGUCUUAAUCCAUGCUUCAUUCUCCAAGAUUUGCCUCAUACUUCUGCCACGCUUAUGCCAACACAUCAACUGCGCUUUAUGGAGCUUCCAGCUCACUAUAUCACGUGUUGAAUGCUAGUAAAUAAUGGAGCUGAAACUCUGGAAUUGCAAAGAGGAUAUAAAUUGUGAUCCUACUAUUUCUAGUCAGAAAAGUUUAAAACUGAACACAAAGCUUUUGACGGAAAAAUAGUCACAUCUGCAUGAAUGUCAAGGACAUAAAAAUUCAGCUUGGGAGAGGAAGAGAAAGCCCUGAGACCAUCACCUCAAGCG
ensembl:lncRNA